rnacentral:rRNA from 1 species
AACCUCGGGAAACUGAGGCUAAUAUCGGAUAGAAGAUGGAUACUGGAAUGUUCUAUCUUUGAAAGGCAACGCCUUAGGAUGGGGCUCGCUGAUUAGGUUGUUGGCGGGGUAACUGCCCACCAAGCCGAUGAUCAGUAAGGGCUCUUAGCGGAGAAGCCCUGAGAGGGAGUCUGAGACACUACUCCCAGCCCUACGGGGUGCAGCAGCUAGGAAUUUUUUGCAAUACGCGAAAGCGUGACAGAGCGAGCCAAAGUGCUUUUCCGUAUAGGAAAAGCUUUUGUGAAAUGUAAAAAGUUUCACGAAUAAGGACUGGGAGAGACUGGUGCCAGCCGCCGCGGAAAUACCAGCAGUCCAAGUCGCAGCCACUUUUAUUGGGUCUAAAACAUCCGUAGCUUGCUUAGUAAGUCUCUUGUUAAAUCUGGCCUCUUAAGGGUCGGGCUGCGAGAGAUACUGCUUUGCUAGAGACCGGGAGACGUAAUGAGUACGUAUGGGGAAGCGGUUAAAUGCAUUGAUCCUAUAUGGACUAAUAACAGCGAAGCACGUUACGAGAACGGAUCUGACAGUGAGGGAUGAAGGCUAGGGGCGCAAAACGGAUUAGAUACCCGUGUAGUCCUAGCAGUAAACACUGCACACUAAACAUUGGACCUCCUCGAGAGGUUUCAGUGCUGUAGCGAAGCGAAGAGUGUGCUACCUGGAAGUAUAGUCGCAAGCCGAAACUUAAA